GGGUUGUGAGGUUAAGCGAACAAGCGUACACGGUGGAUGCCCUGGCAGUCAGAGGCGAUGAAGGACGUGCUAAUCUGCGAAAAGCGCCGGUAAGGUGAUAUGAACCGUUAUAACCGGCGAUGUCCGAAUGGGGAAACCCGGUGCACUUCGGUGCAUCAUCGUUAGCUGAAUACAUAGGCUAACGAGGCGAACCGGGGGAACUGAAACAUCUAAGUACCCCGAGGAAAAGAAAUCAACCGAGAUUCCCCCAGUAGCGGCGAGCGAACGGGGAACAGCCCAGAGCCUGAAUCAGCUUGUGUGUCAGUGGAACGGUCUGGAAAGGCCGGCGAUACAGGGUGACAGCCCCGUACACGAAGGCACACAGGCUGUGAGCUCGAUGAGUAGGGCGGGACACGUGAUAUCCUGUCUGAAGAUGGGGGGACCAUCCUCCAAGGCUAAAUACUCCUGACUGACCGAUAGUGAACCAGUACCGUGAGGGAAAGGCGAAAAGAACCCCGGCGAGGGGAGUGAAACAGAACCUGAAACCGUGUACGUACAAGCAGUGGGAGCCUUCGUAAGAGGGUGACUGCGUACCUUUUGUAUAAUGGGUCAGCGACUUAUAUUCUGUAGCAAGGUUAACCGUAUAGGGGAGCCGAAGGGAAACCGAGUCUUAACCGGGCGUUAAGUUGCAGGGUAUAGACCCGAAACCCGGUGAUCUAGCCAUGGGCAGGUUGAAGGUUGGGUAACACUAACUGGAGGACCGAACCGACUAAUGUUGAAAAAUUAGCGGAUGACCUGUGGCUGGGGGUGAAAGGCCAAUCAAACCGGGAGAUAGCUGGUUCUCCCCGAAAGCUAUUUAGGUAGCGCCUCGUGAACUCAUCUCCGGGGGUAGAGCACUGUUUCGGCUAGGGGGCCAUCCCGGCUUACCAACCCGAUGCAAACUGCGAAUACCGGAGAAUGUUAUCACGGGAGACACACGGCGGGUGCUAACGUCCGUCGUGAAGAGGGAAACAACCCAGACCGCCAGCUAAGGUCCCAAAGUCAUGGUUAAGUGGGAAACGAUGUGGGAAGGCCCAGACAGCCAGGAUGUUGGCUUAGAAGCAGCCAUCAUUUAAAGAAAGCGUAAUAGCUCACUGGUCGAGUCGGCCUGCGCGGAAGAUGUAACGGGGCUAAACCAUGCACCGAAGCUGCGGCAGCGACGCUUAUGCGUUGUUGGGUAGGGGAGCGUUCUGUAAGCCUGCGAAGGUGUGCUGUGAGGCAUGCUGGAGGUAUCAGAAGUGCGAAUGCUGACAUAAGUAACGAUAAAGCGGGUGAAAAGCCCGCUCGCCGGAAGACCAAGGGUUCCUGUCCAACGUUAAUCGGGGCAGGGUGAGUCGACCCCUAAGGCGAGGCCGAAAGGCGUAGUCGAUGGGAAACAGGUUAAUAUUCCUGUACUUGGUGUUACUGCGAAGGGGGGACGGAGAAGGCUAUGUCGGCCGGGCGACGGUUGUCCCGGUUUAAGCGUGUAGGCUGACUUUCCAGGCAAAUCCGGAAGGUUAAGGCUGAGGCGUGAUGACGAGGCACCACGGUGCUGAAGUGACAAAUGCCCUGCUUCCAGGAAAAGCCUCUAAGCAUCAGGUAACAUCAAAUCGUACCCCAAACCGACACAGGUGGUCAGGUAGAGAAUACCAAGGCGCUUGAGAGAACUCGGGUGAAGGAACUAGGCAAAAUGGUGCCGUAACUUCGGGAGAAGGCACGCUGACAUGUAGGUGAAGCCCCUGCGGGUGGAGCUGAAGUCAGUCGAAGAUACCAGCUGGCUGCAACUGUUUAUUAAAAACACAGCACUGUGCAAACACGAAAGUGGACGUAUACGGUGUGACGCCUGCCCGGUGCCGGAAGGUUAAUUGAUGGGGUUAUCGCAAGAGAAGCUCCUGAUCGAAGCCCCGGUAAACGGCGGCCGUAACUAUAACGGUCCUAAGGUAGCGAAAUUCCUUGUCGGGUAAGUUCCGACCUGCACGAAUGGCGUAAUGAUGGCCAGGCUGUCUCCACCCGAGACUCAGUGAAAUUGAACUCGCUGUGAAGAUGCAGUGUACCCGCGGCAAGACGGAAAGACCCCGUGAACCUUUACUACAGCUUGACACUGAACAUUGAGCCUUGAUGUGUAGGAUAGGUGGGAGGCUUUGAAGCGUGGACGCCAGUCUGCGUGGAGCCGACCUUGAAAUACCACCCUUUAAUGUUUGAUGUUCUAACCUGGCGCCAUAAUCUGGCGUGGGGACAGUGUCUGGUGGGUAGUUUGACUGGGGCGGUCUCCUCCCAAAGUGUAACGGAGGAGCACGAAGGUCAGCUAAUCCUGGUCGGACAUCAGGAGGUUAGUGCAAUGGCAUAAGCUGGCUUGACUGCGAGAGUGACGGCUCGAGCAGGUGCGAAAGCAGGUCAUAGUGAUCCGGUGGUUCUGUAUGGAAGGGCCAUCGCUCAACGGAUAAAAGGUACUCCGGGGAUAACAGGCUGAUACCGCCCAAGAGUUCAUAUCGACGGCGGUGUUUGGCACCUCGAUGUCGGCUCAUCACAUCCUGGGGCUGAAGUAGGUCCCAAGGGUAUGGCUGUUCGCCAUUUAAAGUGGUACGCGAGCUGGGUUUAGAACGUCGUGAGACAGUUCGGUCCCUAUCUGCCGUGGGCGCUGGAGAAUUGAGGGGGGCUGCUCCCAGUACGAGAGGACCGGAGUGGACGCAUCACUGGUGUUCGGGUUGUCAUGCCAAUGGCACUGCCCGGUAGCUAAAUGCGGAAGAGAUAAGUGCUGAAAGCAUCUAAGCACGAAACUUGCCCCGAGAUGAGUUCUCCCUGACUCCUUGAGAGUCCUGAAGGAACGUUGAAGACGACGACGUUGAUAGGCCGGGUGUGUAAGCGCAGCGAUGCGUUGAGCUAACCGGUACUAAUGAACCGUGAGGCUUAACCUUACAACGCCAAAGAAGU
rnacentral:rRNA from 1 species